GAUUUUAACUAAAAAAGUCAUCAACAACGAAGUUGUAUAAAUCAUCAAUAUCUAUAACUUUUAUUUUGGUCAUUUAUUCAUCCGAUAGAGUGGUAGUAACAUUGUUUAUAAAUUUUACACAUCUCUUGUAUGGUUUUAUAAACUAUAAGAGAGAUAUGUAAAUUUUGUGAACAAUGUUACUACCACUUUAUCGGAUGAAUAAAUGACCAAAAUAAAAGUUAUAGAUAUUGAUGAUUUAUACAACAUUGUUGUUGAUGACUUUUUCAUUUAAAGUC
rfam:Oryza sativa (indica cultivar-group) chromosome 12, whole genome shotgun sequence.